GGUCCCGCCUGCCCAGUGACUCUUUAAACGGCCGCGGUAUCCUAACCGUGCAAAGGUAGCAUAAUCACUUGUCCCUUAAAUCGGGACUGGAAUGAACGGCUAAAUGAGGACUAAACUGUCUCUUACAGGCUAGCCAAUGAAAUUGAUUUUCCAGUACAAAAGCUGGAAUAUAACCACAAGACGAGAAGACCCUGUGGAGCUUACAAACCAAAUUCACCAAACAUGUUUUAUCGGUUUUCAGUUGGGGCGACUUCGGAGUACAAAAUAACCUCCAAACAUAAAACUAAUUAAGAAUAACACAUCAAAAUAUAUUUUAAUGACCCAGCAACCCUUGUGGUUGUCUGAUUAAUGAACCAAGUUACCCCAGGGAUAACAGCGCCAUCCCCUUCUAGAGUCCCUAUCGACAAGGGGGUUUACGACCUCGAUGUUGGAUCAGGACACCCCAAUGGUGCAGCCGCCAUUAACGGUUCGUUUGUUCAACGAUUAAAGUCCUA
rnacentral:rRNA from 1 species